rfam:Picea glauca, whole genome shotgun sequence.
ACAAUGGUGUUUUUCAACACCACUCCAAUAAUUUUUGGAAAUAUGG